AAAACCCUCAAACGCGUGAAACCUCCACAUGGAAACUGUACAGAUGGCGUGACAAAAGCAACUCAAGGAAGAGUCUACACUCACUCACAGAUCCUUUGUCGGAAAUUGUGCCUGGAAGCGGCCUACAGAUCGCGCUGCAAAUGCUUUCAGGGAAUCAGUCCUGUUUACGAUCUCUUGGGAAACGUCUCUUUGAAUCAAUGUUCGCCUUUCAAUGUGACUCAGAGUCUAUGCGUGGAAGAGAUCCUAUUUUACAACAGUCAGCAAGAAUGCACUCAUUGCAAACCUGCUUGCAAAGAAGCCAAGUAUUUACCACAAGUGACGUUCAGUGUUGCCAACAAAAAGUUCUGGACGGUCGUGCAAAACAUCAAAAUGCAAGGGGCAGGC